CCUCUGUCAGGGGGUGUUGCAUUUGAACACUGCACGCAGUGCCGCUGUCCCCUCUCUGCCCGCUGCACCCCCGCCCCCCAGCCAGCGCUCUCUGCGGUGCUGGCUUGCCUCUCCCGCUCCCCGAAGAGUCCUCAACAAGUUGGAGGGAGGCAGGAGCGCAGGGGUUAAGCUCGGGAAGCUGCAAUUACCAAGAUCGUGACCCUCCCACACAGUACAGUAACUUAUAUACUUACCUGGAAGAGCCCGCUUUGCCGCUGGGCAAACACCCGUGGGGGAGGGGAGGGACAAGAGGGGAGCGGGCUGGCCAGAGAGGGCCGCUUCCAGACCGCUGAAGUGCACACCGAACCAAUGAACUCCCAAGACUCCCGGACUCAGGUGGUCGAGCCUGUCCUGAUACCGAGGGGUGACCACCCAAGCAAGGCAGUCUCAGAGGUUACAGAAGCUGGAAAGCCUGACUGAAGGAUCUCAGGAGUCCCAGGAACUUAGUUUCCUGCAUGGAAAGGAAGUUUGGGAAUUUGGCAGUUCUGCUGGAUCAAGCAAAUGAAAGAAUUGUUUGCAGCUGGUGCGGGACCUGAAGCUGUGGACUUGGCAGAAGAAGACAAGUUUCUCUGAUGAAGGAGGUCUAUCUUUAGUCAAAGGUGUAUGAACAGCUGCCCAUCCCUGCUGGACCUUCAAAGGAGCUUGCAAGAUGUCUAUUUCUAGAGCUAGACCAUAGCAGAAGAAGAUCUACUAAAGAGCUGGUUUCUUUUUUCUUUUUUUAAAGAUUUAUUUAUUAUGUAUACAGUGUUCUGCUUGCAUGUAUCCCUUCAGGCCA